rnacentral:rRNA from 1 species
UACGUAGGUGGCAAGCGUUGUCCGGAUUUAUUGGGCGUAAAGCGCGCGUAGGCGGUUUCUUAAGUCUGAUGUGAAAGCCCACGGCUCAACCGUGGAGGGUCAUUGGAAACUGGGGAACUUGAGUGCAGAAGAGGAGAGUGGAAUUCCAUGUGUAGCGGUGAAAUGCGCAGAGAUAUGGAGGAACACCAGUGGCGAAGGCGGCUCUCUGGUCUGUUACCGACGCUGAUGUGCGAAAGCGUGGGUAUCGAACA